CCUGAAAGACAGAGAUGGGGAUGGGAAGAAGGAGGCCGGGUCAGGGCAUCAAUCCACAGAAACAAAUAACUCAGGGUGUAAGCCCCUCUGUGUGGGAGGAGACCUAGGACUUUACCCGAUGGGUCUGGGUUUGAGUCCCACCUCACAAUUUACCAACUACAAUGGCCUUGGGCUAGUUACAUAACUUCUCUCUGAGCUCAGCUUCUGUAUUUGUGAAAAGUGAUGUGAGGCAAACAGAUAUUGUGACCAGUGCCAGCAACACAAUUAUGUGACUACCAUUCCCGCUCUCAAGAGGAGUCAGCGGUUGGCAUCUCAUAAAUACUUGCCAAGUGAAUGUUGUCCAGUGAGAAGAAGAAUUCUUAGAGAGCUUGAGCACUUUUUCUAAGGUCUGCAGCAAGGACUGGGUGGAUGGAGUCGAGUUCCACAAAGAGUCUACCGGUUAGUUUGUACACAGCCAACCAUUUCUUCACCUGCUUCCCCUGGUCUUCCUGGAGAUCCUGACAGGCAGAUGCCUCUAAUGCCUUGGGUCUUGCUGCUGCUUUCUCACCACACCCUUAGCUUACAACAUUUCUCCCAGCUCUAGGCCUGGCUACCUUGCUAAGUCGCCAACAUGCAGAGGGUGGGUACCACAGCCUCUGGAGCCUUGACACCAAGGGUGGGUGUCAGAAACAAGACAUUUAAACAAGGAAACAAGACAUGGUUCCUGCCCUGAGAUACUCACUGUGGUGGUCUGAAUAUGCUAGGCCCAGAGAGUGGCACUGUUAGGAGGUGUGGCUUUAUUGGAGGAAGUGUGUCACUGUGGGGGUGGUCUUUGAGACCCCCUCUCCUAGCCACGUGGGAGACAGUCUGCUCCUGGCUUCCUUUGGAUGAAGAUGUAGAACUCUCAGCUCCUUCUCCGGCACCGUAUCUGCCUGGAAGUUGCCAUGCUCCCACCUUGAUAGUGAACUGAACCUCUAACCCUGUAAGCCAGCCUCAAUUAAAUAAAUGUCCUUUUUAAGAGUUGCCUUGGUCACGGUUUCUCUUCAUAGAAAUGGAAACCCUAACUAGGACGCUCACUGUCUCUGGAGUGUAGGGUAUAGGACUCUAGACUGCCGUGGAGCUGGGACAGAGGUCAGAGGGAGCUCCCAAAGGUUCUCUCAGAAUGGGAGCCCAAAGCGGUGUUGGUGCCAACAGCGAAAAGCCCAGUGCACCUAGUAACAUCCCUGGGGUCAGAGCUCUCCCGUGAGGGCACCUAGCCACUGUCCAUCCACUUGAUCCACACUGCAGACAGAGCUUAACCAGCAUUUCGGCUCCCACUGUGGUGUGCUGUCCAUCGAAUACAGCAGUGCAUCCAAUGGUGCCACAGAGCUAGCCACUGUGGCUAUGCCUGCUCAUGAGUCUAUGGCUUCCGUCUGACUCGGAGGAGAGAAGAUUACCGGAAGGGACUGAAUAUCCCACAAGACACCUCUCCAUCCAUUCCCACAGGCUGCACAGAUGUAGAACCAUUUAUUUAAGCAGCUCUCCAUCUAUGAACACGUAGAUCACUCAAAGCUUAUCAGCCAAGAUCCUCGACACAUGGCUUUCCCCAUCAACGCGUACAUGUGAUGUUAAGUUCCUGGACACGGACAAGUCUGGGUUAAACGUUAUGAGCAUCUUUGUGGGAUCCUAGUUUAGAUCCUUGCAUCGUCUUGUACUCUGAAGCUAGAGGUAACACUGCCCCCUAAACACCCGAUGGCAAUGUGCUGUCCCAGGUCUCCGAUGUUUCCAAGAUGAACAGCAAGACACCUUGAGAUGAGACACCAGAUUCCUGGUUCUGUAUCAGAUGAAACUGUCAGCCACAGAAAGCCAGAGAUAAACACUGCUCUUCUUCCCACCACCCCUUACACAUUCUUUGGCCCCUUAGUGACCUGGGGUCCCAUGGCCCUGGCUUUACUUCUGUCCUGUCCUGUCAAUAUGCUGAGGUCAUUCGACGGUUACCUCCCUCCUGGGCUUUUACCACCUCAACGGUGGCUUGCAUCUGGCCUGCUACUGGCAACCUCUGUUCCGAUGGGCUGGCUGCAGAGUCCCAGGGACGACCAAGGAUCCCAGGAUCUCUUUUCUUAUCUAUGUUAACCCCACUCACCAUACCACACACUGACUGACAACUGCUAUGACAAAUGGCAACCCCUAAGGGACCGGAGAGAUGAGGUAGGGCUGCGUCCCCAGAACCUCUCUUACCUAACGGAAAGGAAAAGGUCAGAAUGUUCAUGUACCAAAAAUAGUCUCCGUGUGUGUGUGUGUGUGUGUGUGUGUGUGUGUGUGUGUGUGUGUGUGUGUGUGCGUGCGCGCAUGUCUGUGGAGGUCACAUAUGGAGGUCAGAGGACAACUCUGGGCAUUGUCCUUGCCUUCUACCUUGUAUGAGGUAGGGUCUCUGUUGUUAUGCCAGGCUAACUCGAUGGGAAGCAUCCAGAAAUUCUCCUGCCUCAUCUCCCAUUGGAAGCUCUGGGAUUAUAGCUGUGUAUGCCUUCAUGCCUAGCUUUAAGUGGGUUCUGGGGAUUCAAACUCCGGCCCUCAUGCCUGAACAGCAACUGCUUUAAUCACAGAACCAUCUCUCUAGAGUGAAAAGUACUGAGGAGACAGUGGUCUGUCUCUCUGUCAACACUGCUAUGACAGGGAUUGAAUGUAGGGCCUCAUAUAAGCACCCUAAAACUGAGCCCUGGCUGUCCUAGAACUCACUCUGAGAUGAGGCUAACCCUGAAUUCAGAGAACUGCAUACCUCUGCCUCCUGAGUGUUGGAUUAAAGGCAUGCACCACCACUGCCUGGCCUAGUGCUAUCUUCUUGGGAACAUCAUCAACAACAAAAUAAAACACAGGAGGAGGUAAAUGCUCUUAGAUAAACUGCAUGCUAAUAACUUAGGAUUAAUUUGUACUUAUUCAAACAUCUAGGACAGGACAAAGGGAAAGGCGUUAUGUUUUACUACUUUAAGAGGCACUCUAAAGCCUGCUUUGUGCAUGGGCCCCACAGGAUACCUAGCUGGCCCUGAACUUUGGUGUUGCUCAGUGACCCAAGUAGGGGAAGCUGGGAGGUGUCUGGGCCAGUCAGGUUAGUUCCCGGUGAGGGAUGGGCUGGCUUAUCACCCAGAUUGCAGGUCCAGCCAGUUCUUUCAAAGGCUUUUUUUUUUUUUUUUUUUUUUACAGGGAGGAAGGUGAAGAAGACAGCCAAUGAGAAGGAUGGUGCCUUGAGAAAGCCUGCAUUCUGAGAUUGUGUGUGUGUUCCUUACCAGAAAGGUCUCAGCUUCCAUAACUUCUUUAACUCCUCCUAGCUGGGUGUUCCACCCACUUCCCCACACGACAGGGACACCCAGAAUUGGGUCCUUUCUCAGAAACUACCCGUGGGAGAAGGAAGUUGCUUCAUUGAUGAGGAAGGGAGAAAGGCCUGGUCUGGGGCAGAGGUGUGGGCAAAGUCCAUGGAUCUCAAGGGGCACACUAUUCUGAAGUCAACCCUUCUUGGAGCUCCUGCGGGCCAGCUGAAACCUUCCUUGUGAAGGUUUCCACAGCGAAGCCUCUCCUGCUGCCGUUUCCCUACUGCCCUGCAUUUCUAAGGCCCCAGUGUAAACUCCAGGUCUGACACUGAUACACUGGCUGAGUCGGGCUUCCCUGACAUGAGUGUGCAUCGUCACACACUGCCAAAACCGAGAAAAGCCACGUGCAGGACGGGAGAAAUACUGUGAAUCAUGAAUCUGCUAAUGGCUUAGUAUCUUCUGUGAAGAUGGGUAAGUAUGUGGAAAGCACACACGAGUCAAUGACAAAGCACAAACAGAUCAGGAAAAAUGAACAAAGGAGCUCGUGAGAUGGCUUGGUGGAUAAAGACUGCUUGCCACCAAGCCUGAAGACUCGAGUUUAAUCCCUGGGACCCACAAGGUAGAGGAGAGAAUGGAUUUUUUAAGUUGUCCUCUGACCCCCACACGUACAUCCUGGUAUAUGUGUGUUACACACACACACACACACACACACACACACACACACACACACACA